rfam:Spinacia oleracea cultivar SynViroflay scaffold3682.con0007.1, whole genome shotgun sequence.
UUCGGGAGGUGAUGAUUAACUUUCGUAUUAAAUCUGAUAGCGAUUUUGCUCUGUUGAUUUAAUGUUAUUUGCACGUCAGUCUGAUCCCAUU